ensembl:lncRNA
UCUGAUAAGUAAAUUUUACAAUCUUCAGUGAUCCAUUGAGUUGGGACUGUCUAGAUUCCAGAAGAGUACUGAUAGCACCUAGGACCAAAUUUUCAUUGGGCACUGACGACAAGGAUGAGAAUACCAAUAUGGUUGUGACUGUUGCUGCACCAGUCACAUUUGUUGACAAUGUUUUGGGUAUGUUUGAAGUUUCUGGUUGCAAACUUGAAGUACUUUGAAGUGUUGCAGAUGCAUCUGCUUUUGUUGCAUUGUUUAGAGGUGUAGUAUUGCUAGAAAGAGUUUCAGCUGGUGUUGUUUUGAUUGAUGAUUGACUUGGAAUUGUAGAUGCUGGGGAUGUUGAUGCAUUUGUGUUUGAAACUGAUGUUAUUGGAGCUAUUGGAAAUUCUGCUGCACUGGUGAGACCUGUAUUAAUUCCAGUUGUAGUUGUUGAUGCAGUUGUAGUUUCUGAAUCCAUGUUUGGGAUUGGAGUUGUUUUGGUUGAAAGUGCAAGUGUGGCUGGAGCAGAAGAUGUGUUGGUAAAAGCUACAGUUGUUCUUAAAAGAUCUCCUGUUGUUACUUGAAAUGCAGUUGUUGUUUGAGCUGCAGUUGAACUUGGAAUAGUGGCUGUUGUUGUGGUUGGAGCUGUAGUUGAGAUAUCAGCUGGAACUGUAGUGGUGGGAAGAACAGUCAUGGUUGUAAUGGGUGUAGUUGGGGUUCUUGGAGGUUCAGUUGUUUUUAUUGGAGUUAAAGUUGGGGAUAUAGUUACAUGUGAUGAUGAGAUAGGCAUAAUUGUUACAGCAAUAGUUACAGUCUCCGGAGACACAGUUGUGAUAAUUGGAGGUGCAUUUGUUGUGGUAAGGAGUCCUGCUUGGCUUAGAGCUGGAGCUGUAUUAGUGAAAGCAAUAGUUGUGGUUGAUAGAGGUGCAGUUGUUAUUCGGAAUGCAGUUGUUGUUGCCGCUGUAGGUGUGUUUGUGCCUGGAAUUGAAGUUGAGGUUUGAGAUGGAUUUUCUGUUGUGGGAUAGUUAUUCGUAGAAGAGGAAGCUGUAAUGGUGGAUGUUGCAGGUGCAGGAGUACUUUCUGAAGUUGUAGACAUUGUUGGUGAAGUAAGAGUUGAGGUUUCAGUAGUUGUGGCUGGGGUUAAACUUGAUGUAGUAGUUGAAUAUUCCAUCAUGGUUGUGGAAUCUGUGGUUACAGCAGGUGAAGUUAUACUUUCUGAAUUUGUGUUCGGACCUUUUGAUGUUGUACUUGCAGCCUUAGGUGUGGUUUGAUCUGAUGUAGAAGUGGAAGGAAUGGUUGUGGUGAUGGAAGCUGUAGUUGUGGUUGUUGCAAGAGAAGCUGCUGUUGUCGUUGAAGCUACAGUGGUAGUUGUGGACGUUGUAGUUAUCGAUGUUGUUGGUGCAGUUGUGGUUUCUGAAGUCAUUUUGGUGAUUGUGAGUGUUUCAGUAGUUGCAGGUGCAAGUGGCAUUGUGGUUUGAGCUGUUGUUGCACUUGGAGCUUCAGAUGACAUUGGAGCUGAUGUCAUAGAGGAAGGUACAUUUAUAGAUGAGGAAGCUGUAGUUACUGAUGUUGUUACAGGUGCAGAUGUUUCUGAAGAUGUAGCCAUUGUUGUUGAAAUUACAGCUGUUGAUGUUGUUGGAUAAUUAGUUGCUGUACCUCGAGAUUCAGAUGAGGUUGGAGAUGAUGAUGUAGUAGUAGAAUGCACUAUCGCAGCUGAGGAAGCUGUAGAUGUUGAAGAUGCAGUUGUAAUUUCGGAAGCUGUAGUCACAGUAGUGGAUGGCCCCACUGUGGCUGUGGAAGCUGCAGUUGUGCUUGCUGCAGGUGUAGUUGUACUUUCUGAUGUUGUAGGCAUUGUUGUAGACGUAAGAGUUGUUGCUCCUGAAGUCACAACAGUGGAUGUGAGAGCUCCAGUAGAUGUGGUUGCAAGCAGCAAUGUGGUUUUAGAUGUUGUUGUACUUGGAGCUUCAGAUGACAUUGGAGCUGAUGUCAUAGAGGAAGGUACAGUUGUAGGUGAGGAAGCUGUAGUUACUGAUGUUGUUACAGGUGCAGUUGUUUCUGAAGAUGUAGGCACUGUUGUUGAAGUGAGAGUUGAGGAUUCUGAAGUUACAGCUGUUGAUGUUGUUGGAGUGUUCUUUGCUGUAAAUAUAGUUGAUGAAGCCGUAGUCAUAGCUUCUGCCGUUGUACUCUCUGAAGUUGUAGGCACCACUGUCGAAAUGAUAGGUGUGGUUUCUGUUCUCACAACCGUGGUUGUGGGAAUAUAGGUUUUUGAGGAUACUGUAGUUACUGAUGUUACAGUUGCAGUAGAUUCUGAAGAUGUAGGCUUAGCUGUUGAAGUAAGAGUUAUGGAUUCAGUACUCACAACUGUGGUUGUGGGAAUUUCAGUAGUUGAGGAUGCUGUAGUUACUGAUUUUGUUAGAGGUGUAGUUGUUUCUGAAGAUGUAGCUAUAACUGUUGAAGUAGGAGUUGUAGAUUCAGAAGUUACAAAUGUUGAUGUUGUUGGAUUGUUCGUUUUUGUAGGUGUGGUUGAUGAAGCUGUAGUCAUGGUUUCAGCUGUUGUACUCUUCAAAGUUGUGGGCAACACUGUUGAAGUAAUAGGUGUGGUUUCUGUACUCACAGCUGUGGUUGUGGAAAUUUUGAUAGUUGAGGAUGCUUUAGUUACUGAAGUUGUUACAGGUGCAGUUGUUUCUGAAGAUGUAGGCAAUGUUGUUGAAGUGAGAGUUGAGGAUUCUGAAGGUAUAACUGUUGAUGUUGUUGGAUUGUUUGUUGUUGCAGGUGUGGAUGAUGAAGCUGUAGUCGUGGUUUCUGCUGUUGUACUCUCUGAAGUUGUAGGCACCACUGUUGAAGUAAUAGGUGUGGUUUCUUUACUCACAACUGUGCUUGUGGGAAUUUCAGAAGUUGAGGAUGCUGUAGUUACUGAUGUUUUUACAGGUGCAGUUGUUUCUGAAGAUGUAGGCACUGUUUUUGAAGUGAGAGUUGUGGAUUCUGAAGUUACAAAUGUUGAUGUUGUUGGAUUGUUUGUUGUAAGUGUGGUUGAUGAAGCUGUAGAUGUGGUUUCUGCUGUUGUACUCUCUGAAGUUGUGGGCACCACUGUUGAAGUAAUAGGUGUGGUUUCUGUACUCACAACUGUGGUUGUAGGAAUUUCAGUAGUUGAGGAUGCUGUAGUUACUGAAGUUGUUACAGGUGCAGUUGUUUCUGAAGAUGUAGGCAAUGUUGUUGAAGUGAGAGUUGUGGAUUCUGAAGUUACAAAUGUUGAUGUUGUUGGAUUGUUUGUUGUAAGUGUGGUUGAUGAAGCUGUAGAUGUGGUUUCUGCUGUUGUACUCUCUGAAGUUGUGGGCACCACUGUUGAAGUAAUAGGUGUGGUUUCUGUACUCAUAACUGUGGUUGUGAGAAUUUCAGUAGUUGAGGAUGCUUUAGUUACUGAAGUUGUUACAGGUGCAGUUGUUUCUGAAGAUGUAGGGACUGUUGUUGAAGUGAAAGUUGUGGAUUCUGAAGGUACAACUGUUGAUGUUGUUGGAAUGUUUGUUGUUGUAGGUGUGGUUGAUGAAGCUGUAGUCGUGGUUUCUGCUGUUGUACUCUCUGAAGUUGUAGGCACCACUGUUGAAGUAACAGAUGUGGUUUCUGAACUCACAGCUGUGCUUGUAGGAAUUUCAGUAGUUGAGGAUGCUGUAGUUACUGACGUUGUUACAGGUGCAGUUGUUUCUAUAGAUGUAGGCAAUGUUGUUGAAGUGAGAGUUGUGGAUUCAGAAGUUGCAGCUAUUGAUCUUGUUGGAUUGUUUGUUGUUGUAGGAGUGGUUGAUGAAGCUGUAGUCGUGGUUUCUACUGUUGUACUCUCUGAAGUUGUAGGCACCACUGUUGAAGUAGUAGAUGUGGAUUCUGAACUCAAAACUGUGGUUGUGGGAAUUUCAAUAGUUGAGGAUGCUGUAGUUACUGAUGUUGUUACAGGUGCAGUUGUUUCUAUAGAUGUAGGCAAUGCUGUUGAACUGAGAGUUGUGGAUUCUGAAGCUACAGCUGUUGUUGUUGUUGGAGUGUUUGUUGUUGAAGGAGUGGUUGAUGAAGCUGUAGUCGUGGUUUCUACUGUUGUACUCUCUGAAGUUGUAGGCACCACUGUUGAAGUAGUAGAUGUGGAUUCUGUACUCACAACUGUGGUUGUGGGAAUGUCAGUAGUUGAGGAUGCUGUAGUUAUAACUGUUGAAGUAAGAGUUGUAGAUUCUGAAGCUACAGCUGUUGUUGUUGUUGGAUUGUUUGUUGUUGAAGGAGUGGUUGAUGAAGCUGUAGUCGUGGUUUCUACUGUUGUACUCUCUGAAGUUGUAGGCACCACUGCUGAAGUAGUAGAUGUGGAUUCUGUACUCACAACUGUGGUUGUGGGAAUUUCAGUAGUUGAGGAUGCUGUAGUUAUAACUGUUGAAGUAAGAGUUGUAGAUUCAGAAGUUACAGAUGUUGAUGUUGUUGGAUUGUUUGUUGUUGUAGGAGUGGUUGAUGAAGCUGUAGUCGUGGUUUCUACUGUUGUACUCUCUGAAGUUGUAGGCACCACUGUUGAAGUAGUAGAUGUGGAUUCUGUACUCACAACUGUGGUUGUGGGAAUUUCAGUAGUUGAGGAUGCUGUAGUUACUGAUUUUGUUAGAGGUGUAGUUGUUUCUGAAGAUGUAGCUAUAACUGUUGAAGUAGGAGUUGUAGAUUCAGAAGUUACAAAUGUUGAUGUUGUUGGAUUGUUCGUUUUUGUAGGUGUGGUUGAUGAAGCUGUAGUCAUGGUUUCUCCUGUUGUACUCUCUGAAGUCGUAGGCACCACUGUUGAAGUAAUGGAUGUGGUUUCUGAACUCACAACUGUGGUUGUGGGAAUUUCAGUACUUGAGGAUGCUGUAGUUACUGAUGUUGUUACAGGUGUAGUUGUUUCUUUAGAUGUAGGCAAUGUCGUUGAAAUGAGAGUUGUGGGUUCUGAAGUUACAGCUUUUGAUGUUGUUGGAGCAUUUGUUGUUGUAGGAGUGGUUGAUGAAGCUGUAGUUGUGGUUUGUACAGUGGUGGUUUCUACAGUUGUACUCUCUGAAGUUGUAGGCAUCACUUUUGAAGUUGUAGAUGUGGAUUGUGUACUCACAACUGUGGUUGUGGGAAUUUCAGUAGUUGAGGAGGCUGUAGGUAUAACUGUUGAAGUAAGAGUUGUAGAUUCAGAAGUUACAGAUGUUGAUGUUGUUGGAUUGUUCCUUGUUGUUGGUGUGGUUGAUGAAACUGUAGUCGUGGUUUCUGCUGUUGUACUCUCUGAAGUUGUAGGCACCACUGUUGAAGAAACAGAUGUGGUUUCUGAACUUACAACUGUGGUUGUGGGAAUUUCAGUAGUUGAGGAUGCUGUAGUUACUGAUGUUGUUACAGGUGCAGUUGUUUCUAUAGAUGUAGGCACUGUUGUUGAAGUGAGAGUUGUGGAUUCUGAAGUUGCAGCUGUUGAUGUUGGAUUGUUCGUUGUUGUAGUUGUGGUUGAUGAAGCUGUAGUCGUGGUUUCUGCUGUUGUACUCUCUGAAGUUGUAGGCACCGCUGUUGAAGUAAUAGAUGUGGUUUCUGUACUCACAACUGUGGUUGUCGGAAUUUCAGUAGUUGAGGAUGCUGUAGUUUCUGAAGUUGUUAAAGGUGCAGUUGUUUCUGAAGAUGUAGGCGCUGUCGUUGAAAUUAGAGUUGUGGAUUCUGAAGUUACAGCUGUUGAUGUUGUUGGAUUGUUUGUUGUUGUAGGAGUGGUUGAUGAAGCUGUAGUCGUGGUUUCUACUGUUGUACUUUCUGAAGUUGUAGGCAUCACUGUUGAAGUAAUAGAUGUGGUUUCUGUACUCACAACUGUGGUUCUGGGAAUUUCAGUAGUUGAGGAUGCUGUAGUUACUGAUGUUGUUAGAGGUGUAGUUGUUUCUGAAGAUGUAGGUGUAACUGUUGAAGUAAGAGUUGUAGAUUCAGAAGUUACAGAUGUUGAUGUUGUUGGAUUGUUCGUUGUUGUAGUUGUGGUUGAUGAAGCUGUAGUCGUGGUUUCUGCUGUUGUACUCUCUGAAGUUGUAGGCACCACUGUUGAAGUAAUAGAUGUGGUUUCUGUACUCACAACUGUGGUUGUGGGAAUUUCAGUAGUUGAGGAUGCUGUAGUUUCUGAAGUUGUUAAAGGUGCAGGUGUUUCUGAAGAUGUAGGCGCUGUCGUUGAAGUGAGAGUUGUGGAUUCUGAAGUUACAGCUGUUGAUGUUGUUGGAUUGUUUGUUGUUGUAGGAGUGGUUGAUGAAGCUGUAGUCGUGGAUUCUACUGUUGUACUCUCUGAAGUUGUAGGCACAACUGUUGAAGUAAUAGAUGUGGAUUCUGUACUCACAACUGUGGUUGUGGGAAAUUCAGUAGUUGAGGAGGCUGUAGUUACUGAUGUUGUUAGAGGUGUAGUUGUUUCUGAAGAUGUAGGUAUAACUGUUGAAGUAAGAGUUGUAGUUUCUGAAGUUACAGCCGUAAAUGUUGUUGGAUCGUUUGUUGUUGUAGGAGUGGUUGAUGAAGCUGUAGUCGUGGUUUCUACUGUUGUACUCUCUGAAGUUGUAGGCACCACUGUUGAAGUAAUAGAUGUGGUUUCUAAACUCACCACUGUGGUUGUGGGAAUUUCAGUAGUUGAGGAUGCUGUAGUUACUGAUGUUGUUAGAGGUGUAGUUGUUUCUGAAGAUGUAGGUGUAACUGUUGAAGUAAGAGUUGUAGAUUCAGAAGUUACAGAUGUUGAUGUUGUUGGAUUGUUCGUUGUUGUAGUUGUGGUUGAUGAAGCUGUAGUCGUGGUUUCUGCUGUUGUACUCUCUGAAGUUGUAGGCACCACUGUUGAAGUAAUAGAUGUGGUUUCUGUACUCACAACUGUGGUUGUGGGAAUUUCAGAAGUUGAGGAUGCUGUAGUUUCUGAAGUUGUUAAAGGUGCAGUUGUUUCUGAAGAUGUAGGCGCUGUCGUUGAAAUGAGAGUUGUGGAUUCUGAAGUUACAGCCGUUGAUGUUGUUAGAUCGUUUGUUGUUGUAGGAGUGGUUGAUGAAGCUGUAGUCGUGGUUUCUACUGUUGUACUCUCUGAAGUUGUAUGCACCACUGUUGAAGUAAUAGAUGUGGUUUCUGUACUCACAACUGUGGUUGUGGGAAUUUCAGUAGUUGAGGAUGCUGUAGUUUCUGAAGUUGUUAAAGGUGCAGUUGUUUCUGAAGAUGUAGGCGCUGUCGUUGAAAUGAGAGUUGUGGAUUCUGAAGCUACAGCUGUUGAUGUUGUUGGAUUGUUUGUUGUUGUAGGAGUGGUUGAUGAAACUGUAGUCGUGGUUUCUAUUGUUGUACUUUCUGAAGUUGUAGGCAUCACUGUUGAAGUAAUAGAUGUGGUUUCUGUACUCACCACUGUGGUUGUGGGAAUUUCAGAAGUUGAGGAUGCUGUAGUUACUGUUGUUGUUAGAGGUGUAGUUGUUUCUGAAGAUGUAGGUGUAACUGUUGAAGUAAGAGUUGUAGAUUCAGAAGUUACAGAUGUUGAUGUUGUUGGAUUGUUCGUUGUUGUAGUUGUGGUUGAUGAAGCUGUAGUCGUGGUUUCUGCUGUUGUACUCUCUGAAGUUGUAGGCACCACUGUUGAAGUAAUAGAUGUGGUUUCUGUACUCACAACUGUGGUUGUGGGAAUUUCAGUAGUUGAGGAUGCUGUAGUUUCUGAAGUUGUUAAAGGUGCAGUUGUUUCUGAAGAUGUAGGCGCUGUCGUUGAAAUGAGAGUUGUGGAUUCUG